GGAGAAUGGCGGCCGCCAAGCCUGCGUUAGUAAGAGGCCCGCCGAGUUCUCUGCAGACUCUGAGCCAGUCCUGUAAUCCUUUGUUUUUUCUGGGUGCUAUAGCCGCCCGGCAUUCCUGGGUGGCUUGCUCGUAAACAAGCUGUUCUAUGAGCGGUGCUGCUUGCUCCGCAUCACCAAAUAUUCGUCCUGCAGUUUCUGUCAUUCUGGCUACGAAAUCUGAGAACGGUUCCUGAGGUCCCUGGAUGAUACGAUUCUGAAUCCUCCUUGUCACCAAGGAGUCUCCGGAGGUGCUGAUGAGGUCUUUUUCCCGGGUUUCUGGCACCAAAUGUCCCACGCUACGUCUCGCCAGCAAGAAUGACGCAGGACACAAAGGAUUCUUCUGCAGAAAAUAGCUUUAAUGCAUCUUGAGAGCGAGAGCACAAGCUUACAAUAUGGAGACCCCGAGUGAGGGAAAGACCAUCCCUUAUAUAGGAAACUAUCCUCGCCUAGGACGUGUCACUCUCUGGCUGGUCGCUGCCAGAUGUGCCAGAUGACGUACCACAGCAUACGUAUCCCCCUGAGUGAGGAAUUUACCAGGCGCUUGCGUAUUGCCCUUUUAUUAGGUGCAUCCUGCCGGAUAUCGGCACCAUCUUACAAUGGAGAAUGUGAGGACGGCCCUCCACAGGAAAUUGUCCAUAUCCUGCAGAAUUUCAAGUUUUGUUGAAUAUAGACUUUUGUAGUAGGAUCUGAUGAUUUUUUUGAAUUUCCUCUGAUUCUGUAGUAAUGUUUCCCUUUUCAUUUCUGAUUUUGUUAAUUUGGACACACUCUUUGUAUCCUCACAUUAGUCUGGCUAAGGGUUUAUCUAUCCUGUUGAUUUUCUCAAAGAACCAACUUUUGGUUCUGUUGAUUCUUUCUAUGGUCCUUCUUGUUUCUACUUGGUUGAUUUCAGCUCUGAGUUUGAUAACUUCCUGCCUUCUACUCCUCCUGGGUGUAUUUGCUUCUUUUUGUUCUAGAGCUUUUAGGUGUGCUGUCAAGCUGCUGACAUAUGCUCUUUCCUGUUUCUUUCUGCAGGCACUCAGAGCUAUGAGUUUUCCUCUUAGCACAGCUUUCAUUAUGUCCCAUAAGUUUAGGUAUGUUGUAACUUCGUUUUCAUUAAAUUCUAAGAAGUCU
rnacentral:lncRNA from 1 species